AGUAAAUGUAUGUGUGAUUUAUGCUGUUUCAAAUGUGUUAUCUCCUGGGAAAUACUUGCCCGUGUGUGUAUACAUAUUUAUCUGUAUUUGAAAAUGAAACAAAUUCCUCAUUCCUACACAACACAAAAUGCAAUACCUUAAAGCGUUUCAAUAUAUCGUUUGUUUAAUGAAUGACUGGAAUAAUCAAAGAAACCUCCAGACUCCUCUACCUUUUUAAAAAGUAACCUCCAAUAGGCCUCCCAGUCCCGAUCUUGGUUAAGCACAUCAGAAUCUUCGUCCACUGUUCCCUGCUCAUCGUACAGCGCUCUCUGCUCUUUGUCGCUCAAAACAGAAUAGACUUUCCCGAGGAUCUGCGAGGAAAGAGCAUCCAAAAGUCACCCUUGCAUCCUUCACUGCAACCGCGCUGCGAGAAAUAAAGAUUAGAAAACACCAGGCCAGGAGAUCGAGAGAAAUCCAGGCAGCCAGCGGAGCCGGGGCUCGCGUACCUGGAAGCGGCGGGUGGCGUCCUCUUUGUCGUCGUCGCCGACCCGGUCCGGGUGCACCUGCAGGGACACUUUGUGGUAGCCCCGUCGGACCUCACCGUCCGAGGCCUCGCGCCGCACGCCCAACACUCGGUACAGGUCGGCGGUGCCAAACACUUCCUCGCACAGCUCCAGCAACCCCAUGGCCGGCAGCCAGGGAGGGCGCCGCAACCUCCGCGACACUGGGUACAGCUUCAGACUGCCUCCUUUUCCCGCGCAAAAAAAAACCCGGGAGUGACUGCGUCACAAGAGGCGCCGGAAGGGCGUGGCCACGACGUCGCACUUUACGGCAGCUGCAAGUGGGGGCGUGGCCAGAACUUAACCGAAGGUCGGAGCGGCGGGCGGGACCUCGCGUGUUGGGUAGCGGAGCGGGAGUCGGGGCCGCUGCACCCUCCUCCCCUUAAGAAAUCUGGCGAUUAUCUUCUCCCCGGUGUCCCAGUGCAGCAGCUCAUUCAAUAGAUGGCAUGUCCAUAUUACGUCUGAACCAUACAUUGCCUUUUGCCUUUUUUUAAGUAAAAAAGUUCAUAACACCGACAUUUGAAGACCUGACAUGGUUCAAUGUUGUUCUUUUUCAAUGAUCCUGACAAGAGUACACAAACUCUAAGACCUACAGGUUGGGACUGCUGGAUCCAAGAUCAAAUCCAAGUAGUCAGCUGUUCUUGCCCUGCCUUUGAAGUCCCCUCAAUGCAAGGGAGGCCAACCAGUGACAACCUUGGGAGAGACUUGACUCAUUAUGAGAGAAGAGGCAGAGACACAGGCAGAGGGAGAAGCAGGCUCCAUGCCAGGAGCCCGAGGCGGGACUCGAUCCCGGGACUCCAGGAUCACACCCCAGGCCAAAGGCAGGCGCUGAACCACUGAGCCACCCAGGGAUCCCCAAUUGUGGCCAAUUAAAUGUAAACUAAAGUAAUUGCUUCUUUUUUUUUUUUUUUUUUUUUUUCAAAAGUAGAUUCUUCUCUCUGGAAAUUAUUUUCUUUACAUGUGAAUUAAACAUCCUUUUUUAUAUGAGUAUAGUUGACACACCAUGUUUCAGGUACACAACAUACGAUUCUGAAGUCUAUACAUUAUGCUACGUUCACAAGUAUAGCUACCGUCUGUCACCACACAACACUAUUACAAUACAUUACAAUACCAUUGACCAUAUUCCCUGUACUAUAUCUUUUAUUCCUGUAAAGUCAUUGCUUCUUAAAGGGAGGUGAAAUAGCUAGUAGCAUAUCCUCUUUGUUCUUGCCUCCCUUUUGUUCUUUAUUGUGCUUGAAACAUGUAUAUGGUGGCUUAAGCUACAAUGGCUGUCUUGCAACUAUGAAGGAUGGGGACAGCAUGCUAUGACUGGUGGAGCAGAAAGCUAUAGAGUUUGGGUCUCCUGGUGACAUUGUGGAGCUCUGGUACCAGCCCUGGGCUUUUCAGUAGAUGAGAAAAAUAAAAUUCCUAAUUUGUUUAAGCCACUUGUAAACUGUGAUUCAUAAUAGAAUAGAUGUUCCGCCGGGGAUUGGCAGAUUACUACUUAUGAGCCAAAUCUAGCUUGCUGUUUUUGUUAAGUAAACUUUUGUUUGAAAUACAGUCAUGCUCAUUUGUUUAUGUGUUGUCUGUGGUUCCCUUUGGACUACAAGGACAGAGGGUAGUAGAUGCAAUAGAGACAGUUUAGCCCACAAAGCCUAAAAUAUUAUUUUUCCCUUUAUACAAAGUUUGCUGACCAGUACCUUCAGUCUACACAUGAUGAAAAUGAGGCUGAAAGAAGAUAGAGUAAAGUUAGUGGCAAAACUAGGACCAUAAUUCAGGCUUACUGACUCCCUUGCUAUUUAUCUUUCCAUUAAACCAAAUUCUCUAAAGAGGUAGAAAAAAGAUCCCCCAUAUUAAUAUGUGGGUUAUUGCAAACCCACCAGCUGUAUGAUAAUGGCAAAGAUGAGAAGAAAAGCCUCUGGAAAAUAUUCACAUCCUGAAAUGCUGUAAAGUCCUGAACUAAGCAGCAUCUUCUUCCUAGUUUUCCAACCUUAGUACAGUACAAACUUCAGGGGCAUCUGUAUCAUACCUUCAUUGUGUACUUAUAGGCCUGCUCAGCUUCCAGUUGCCGUCCAGCCUGAAAAAAAGAACAGCAGCUCAUGAUUUAUUAUAAACACUAUGGUGGGAAAGGACGUUGCCACAAACAUUUCUACCAAAACAGGAUUCCAUACCUUCUUAAUAAUCUUUUCCAUUAUAUAUAUAUUCAUUUCAAAAAGUUUAAAGAGGGGCAACUAGGUGGCUCAGUCAGUUGAGUGUCUGACUCAAGCUUAGAUCUUGA